rnacentral:rRNA from 1 species
UACGUAGGGGGCGAGCGUUGUCCGGAUUUAUUGGGCGUAAAAGAGCGCGUAGGCGGCCGUUCGCGUCGGAUGUGAAAGCUCGGGGCUCAACCCUGAGAGGCCAUUCGAUACGGGACGGCUAGAGGUAGGUAGGGGAGAUCGGAAUUCCUGGAUGUAGCGGUGAAAUGCGCAGAUAGUCAGGAGGAACACCGGUGGCGAAGGCGGAUCUCUGGGCCUUACCUGACGCUGAGGCGCGAAAGCUGGGGGAGCAAACAGG